AAAAUGGCAAAUUCGUUGGACUUAUCGUCAAAUAAACCUUUAGAAUUUCAAACUGCAAAAUGAAGUGGUUGUUAGUGAGUGUUACCUUACUGGUAUUAAGCUUGGUAAUCGUAUCAGCAAACGCAUUGCCGGAUACUAUAAUUUAUCGUUCACCUCCAUGGGCUCCAUAUCCUCCGAUACGAAUUACGAAAGUAUAUUGAUGUCUACUGUUACUAGAAACCACAAUUACUUUAUUCCAAUCAACCAAAGUGGGAAUCAUCUGUAUUUUCUUGAGGUACAAUUGAAUUAAGUGUUUAGCAUAAAUAUGUCAUUGUCUAAGAAAUGGAUAAUAUAUCUUAAU